UACGAAGGGGGCGAGCGUUGCUCGGAAUCACUGGGCGUAAAGCGCACGUAGGCGGCUUUCUAAGUCAGGGGUGAAAUCCUGGAGCUCAACUCCAGAACUGCCUUUGAUACUGAAGAUCUUGAGUUCGGGAGAGGUGAGUGGAACUGCGAGUGUAGAGGUGAAAUUCGUAGAUAUUCGCAAGAACACCAGUGGCGAAGGCGGCUCACUGGCCCGAUACUGACGCUGAGGUGCGAAAGCGUGGGGAGCAAACAGG
rnacentral:rRNA from 1 species